rnacentral:tRNA from 1 species
GGUUGUGGCUCAGAGGUAGAGCGCUCGCCUAGCACUGCAGAGCACUGGGUUUGAUCCUCAGCACCA